rnacentral:rRNA from 1 species
GUGAGGAAUAUUGGUCAAUGGGCGGGAGCCUGAACCAGCCAAGUCGCGUGAAGGAAGAAGGAUCUAUGGUUCGUAAACUUCUUUUGCAGGGGAAUAAAGUGCAGGACGUGUCCUGUUUUGUAUGUACACUGAGAAUAAGGAUCGGCUAACUCCGUGCAAGCAGCCGCGGUAAUACGGAGGAUCCGAGCGGUAUGCGGAUGUAUUGGGUAUGAAGGGUGUGUAGGUGGUUUGAUAAGUCAGCGGUGAAAGUUUGAAGCUUAACUGUAAAAAUGCCGUUGAAACUGUCGGACUUGAGUGUAAAUGAGGUAGGCGGAAUGCGUGGUGUAGCGGUGAAAUGCAUCGAUCUCACGCAGAACUCCGAUUGCGAAGGCAGCUUACUAAGCUACAACUGACACUGAAGCACGAAAGCGUGGGGAUCAAACAGGAUUAGAUACCCUAGUAGUCC